rnacentral:rRNA from 1 species
CUAUUUGAGGGUUUGAUCCUGGCCCAGGAUUAACGCUGGCGGCAUGCCUAAUGCAUGCAAGUAGAACGAGUUGUAGCAAUACAACUAGUUGCGAACGGCUGAGUAAUGGAUAGGAAUUUCCCCAAUGGUGUGGAAUACCUCAUCGAAAGAUGAGCUAAUACCGCAUGACCUCGAAAGAGAAAAGCGCUUAACUGCGCGCCGAUGGAUGAGCCUAUCUCCCAUCAGGCUGUUGGUAGGGUAAUGGCCUACCAAACCUAUGACGGGUAGGGGGCGUGAGAGCGCGUUCCCCCAGAAUGGGACUGAGACCAAAACUGAUCUCCUGCAGAAGCAAUUCUGCAGUAAAAUUUGGCUAAUAACGGUGGAGCCCUACUUGACUUUCGGAUAAACUUCGGUUUAUUGUUAGUUAAGGGGUAAUACCGUGGGAAGUCGACUAAGUGUAACCAAACAAAAUGUGUUCGCCUAUAUUGCUGGAUUUCUCGAUGCUGAUGGUUAUAUAACUAUCAAAAUUGAGAAAAGUAAAACCAACAGGUUAGGUGAAAGAGGAAGGGUUCGGGUUGGAUUUGCUCAAAACAAAUCAAGAAUUUUUGUUCUUGAUAAGCUUUGUAAAUUCAUAAAAUCCGGAGUUGUAUCUGAAUAUAAUCAUAACAAUAUGGCUGAGUAUGUAGUUAACGAUCAGAAAGUGAUUUUUGAAUUGUUAACGAAACUCAAACCAUUUGUUAUUGUUAAAAAGAAACAAUUAAGACUCGCUUUAGAGUUUUUGCUUCUUAAAGAGUUUGGUUAUUCGAUAAAAUCUUUGAGAAAGAUGAAAAAUUUAGAGGUUAAAAUGUCUAAAUUUAAUAGUUAUCCAAAGAUGUCUGACCCCGUAACGACUGAAGCUUAAGUGCUGAGAUAUAAGUUUAAUACACUUAUAUAAGAUGCCAACUCCUAUAUUACCCCUUUGGGUGGUGUAGGUUGAAGAUAUAGUCUGCGCCAUUAGUAAUAAUGGAAUAAGUGACGGCCCAUACACCUACGGGUGGCAGCAACAGGGAAUCGUACGCAAUGGACGAAAGUCUGACGUCGCAAUGCCGCGUGGAGGAUGAAGGCCUUCGGGUCGUAAACUCCUUUUACAGUAAUAGAGAUGUUAUUGAGAAUAAGCACCUGCUAACUCUGUGCCAGCAGCAGCGGUAAUACAGAGGGUGCAAGCGUUAUCCGGAUUUAUUGGGCGUAAAGCGUUUCGUAGGUUUCUAGAUAAGUUACUCUUCAAAGACCACGGCUCAACCGGGGGAAGGGGAGUAAUACUAUCUGGAUUGAAAUAUGGUGGGGCUUCCGGAACUGAUGGUGUAGUAGUGAAAUACGUUGAUAUCAUCAGGAACUCCGAGGGCGAAGGCAGGAAGCUAACUAUUUUUUGACACUGAUGAACGACAGCUAGGGGAGCGAAAGGGAUUAGAGACCCCUGUAGUCCUAGCCGUAAACUUUGCUCGCUAGGGAUGGGGCCGUAAGGCUUCGUCCCGUAAGCUAACGCGUUAAGCGAGCCGCCUGGGGAGUACGGCCGCAAGGCUAAAACUCAAAGGAAUUGACGGGGACCCGCACAACCAGUGGAGCAUGUGGUUUAAUUCGAGACGAAACGAAAGACCUCACCCAGCCUUGACAUAAUACCGUUUUAAGCACCCAGAAAUGGGAGCCUAUCUUUAGAAAUAUUGAUGGUACUACAGGUGUUGCAUGGCCGUCGUCAGCUCGUGCCGUAGGGUGUUCCCUUCAGUGGGGUAACGAGCGCAACCCUUGUCCUGAGUUGAAUAUUCUCAGGAGACUCUUUGAAUUUAUUUCAGAGGGAAGUGAGGACGACGUCAGGUCAGCAUGGCCCUUAUAGCUGGGGCAACACACAUACUACAAUGGAGCCGACAGAGGGUUGCCAAGUGGCAACACGGAGCUAAUCCCAAAAACGGCUUCUCAGUGGGGAUUGGGGGCUGCAACUCGCCCCCAUGAACUUGGAAUUGGUAGUAAUCGCGGAUCAGCAUGCCGCGGUGAAUACGUUCUCGGGUCUUGUACACACCGCCGUAAUUUAAUUAACGCGCGUGGCAGUUAAGUUUUCCAGUAGGUUAAAAUCCUACCCCU